CUACGGGUCGCACCAGUGGGGAAUAUUGCACAAUGGGCGCAAGCCUGAUGCAGCAGCGCCGCGUGAACGAUGAAGGCCUUCGGGUUGUAAAGUUCUUUUCUUAGGGAAGAAUAAAUGACGGUACCUAAGGAAUCAGCCCCGGCUAACUACGUGCCAGCAGCCGCGGUAAUACGUAGGGGGCAAGCGUUAUCCGGAAUCACUGGGCGUAAAGGGAGUGUAGGCGGUCAAGCAAGUCAGGGGUGAAAGGCAUCGGCUCAACCGAUGUAAGCCUUUGAAACUGUUUGACUUGAGUGCAGGAGAGGUAAGUGGAAUUCCUAGUGUAGCGGUGAAAUGCGUAGAUAUUAGGAGGAACACCAGUGGCGAAGGCGACUUACUGGACUGUAACUGACGCUGAGGCUCGAAAGCGUGGGGAGCGAACAGGAUUAGAUACCCCCGUAGUC
rnacentral:rRNA from 1 species